rnacentral:rRNA from 1 species
GUCUACGGCCAUGCUACCCUGAACAAGCCCGAUUCUGUCUGAUCCCGGAAGCUAAGCAGAGUCGGGCCUGGUUAGUACUUGGAUGGGAGACCACCUAGGAAGACCAGGUGCUGUAGGGG